rnacentral:rRNA from 1 species
CCCGGGGCCGGACCGGGACGGGGUAGGUAACGGGUACGCGACUUACCUAUCAGAGGGGGAUAACCCGGCGAAAGCGGACUAAUACCGCAUGAAGCAGGGGCCCCGCAUGGGGAUAUUUGCUAAAGAUUCAUCGCUGAUAGAUAGGCAUGCGUUCCAUUAGGCAGUUGGCGGGGUAACGGCCCACCAAACCGACGAUGGAUAGGGGUUCUGAGAGGAAGGUCCCCCACAUUGGUACUGAGACACGGACCAA